UCUGUUUGAUCCUGCCGGAGGUUACUGCUAUCGAGGUUCGACUAAGCCAUGCGAGUCGAAUGUAGCAAUACAUGGCGUACUGCUCAGUAACACGUGGGCAACCUACCCUUAGGCCUGGGAUAACCCCGGGAAACUGGGAAUAAUACCGGAUAUAUCACGAACGCUGGAAUGCGUCGCGAUAGAAAGCUCCGGCGCCUAAGGAUGGGUCUGCGGCCUAUCAGGGUAGUAGUGGGUGUAAUGUACCUACUAGCCUACGACGGGUACGGGUUGUGAGAGCAAGAGCCCGGAGAUGGAUUCUGAGACACGAAUCCAGGCCCUACGGGGUGCAGCAGGCGCGAAAACUUUACAAUGCCGGCAACGGCGAUAAGGGGACCUCGAGUGCCAGGAUACAAUCCUGGCUGUCGUAAUGCCUAAAAAGCAUUGCAUAGCAAGGGCCGGGCAAGACCGGUGCCAGCCGCCGCGGUAACACCGGCGGCUCGAGUGGUAACCGCUAUUAUUGGGUCUAAAGGGUCUGUAGCCGGCUGAAUAAGUCUCUUGGGAAAUCUGGCAGCUUAACUGUCAGGCUUUCAGGAGAUACUGUCCGGCUCGAGACCGGGAGAGGUGAGAAGUACCUCAGGGGUAGGGGUGAAAUCUUGUAAUCCUUGAGGGACCACCAGUGGCGAAGGCGUCUCACCAGAACGGAUCUGACGGCAAGGGACGAAAGCUAGGGGCACGAACCGGAUUAGAUACCCGGGUAGUCCUAGCCGUAAACGAUACUCGCUAGGUGUCGGCCACGGUGCGACCGUGGUCGGUGCCGUAGGGAAGCCGUGAAGCGAGCCACCUGGGAAGUACGGCCGCAAGGCUGAAACUUAAAGGAAUUGGCGGGGGAGCACUACAACGGGUGGAGCUUGCGGUUUAAUUGGAUUCAACGCCGGAAAUCUCACCGGGACCGACAGCGAUAUGAAGGCCAGGCUGAAGACCUUGCCGGAUUAGCUGAGAGGUGGUGCAUGGCCGUCGUCAGUUCGUACUGUGAAGCAUCCUGUUAAGUCAGGCAACGAGCGAGACCCA
rnacentral:rRNA from 1 species